AUCAGCAGGGUGUGUUUGUGUGUAUGUGUGUGUGUGUGGGGGGGGGAGUAAAAAGCAAAGGGCCGUGUCCAGCAUAGCAGCUGAAGGCCAGUCCUGUUGGCCUUCUCUGUCUGCCCCGACAGCAUCACCAGUUGAGGGGAAUGAGCACAAUGGAGUGUAGUGAAACAGUCACUCAAGCGUGUUAAUCUUUGCGUCAGGUCGCUGAAUGGAAACAAGGCAAGCAUUGUUCCACUAGGGGACAAGAAGAGCUUGGAGAGAAAUGCAGGGAAUAAUGAUCAAAACCAAAGCAUGCCUACUUGGGAGAAGAGGCGGAAGAGAAAAUACAACAUGCAUUUCAAACCCCCCCCCCCCCCCAUUUAAACAAUCACCUUAAGGCUUGUAAACACAACCUCUGCUUUUAUCACCAGAUGGCGUAAGGAAUUUAUGGUUUCUACAGAGUCUUAGAGCAUCGGUUCAGUAAUGACUUUUGGGAUUGUCUCAGGGAAUUAGAUAUGCACAGACUCACACCAUUAAGGGGUUAGCAACUUCAUGGCUGGCUGUUUUAUUAAUUCAUCCCAACCAGCAUGGGCAAUGUUCAGUGGUGUCUAUUGGAACAUACCCUCAUUUGCAAUAUUGAUUGUGAUCUUGAAGUGCCAUAUAUCACAAAUUGAUAUAGUUCUUUAUUUUUCUUUUAUGUGCCCAUAUAUAAACACUAAUAGAGGUAGUUGUUCAGCAUCAGCUUUCAUUGUUACUGCUUUUGAGAAGGGUCCUUGACCCACCACUAUUAUUUCAACUGCAUUGCAGAAUGCUUUUAAAUCUUGCAGUGAUGUGUUGGAACUUGACAGACUGCAUUCAGUGAGACUCAUAUCCCAAGUAGACAUGUUCAAAGAACAGCUGCUUUGUCUCCCUCCCACUGGUCUCCUGGUGUGCAGCCAGCUUUGGGUUUUUUCUUUCUUUGCCUACUCUGCAUGGAGAACAUGAAAUGAGGAGUGAAAUGAAAUAAACCAGCUCCUCAAAGUCAUUGCAAAGGCUGGACUAUUAUUGAUGCAAUUGGAGCAAAUGUUGCGGGGAACCCAUGGUGCCGCUGGCACUACAGACAUACAGCCACAUGAGUUCUUGUACAGUGAUGCACCUGCAAAGAGGUGGACUGUAGAUCUCUCCACUCUCUAACAGUUGUUUGUUUUUGUCAUUCAUUCAUUUCUCAGCUGUGGAGAGAGUGAAGAUGUGGGUGGUGAGGUGAGGUUACUGCCUCUAAGACACUGGCUUUGGUCACACCAUCCAGAGCCAUCUCCUCCCAUUGGCCUUGGACCCAGAGAAUGGCUCUGCUUGACCUAACAGCUCUGCUAAACUUAAUCUGGCAUAAUAUGAUGGGAACAUGCCAUCAGCAGAGCUCAUAUGCAAGCCCAAAAGGAACCAAGACAGAGGCACAAAGAAUAUGGAUUUGAAAUUAUGAAUUUACAGAAGGAACAGACAGAUUGCUGAAAUCAUCACCCACAGAAUGUUUUAGCAGCCGUAACGGGAUUUUAAUUCAGCCAAGAGUCAUACAAAUGCUAGCAUUCCCUGAUCAUUCUUGCUUAUAGGGCAGCUUUGAUCCUCAAAACACAAGGAAGCUCCAGGAAACCAGAUGUGUCAACAGAGUGAGAAACACAUUAAAUCCCUUUUUAAUAUGCUUCUUAUUAAUGUGCAAACAUAUUAUUUAUUCCUUCUGAUGUAAUGCAUGCUUGAUUCCCAGUGGAUUUUGUAAUAAACUCCAGCAACAGUCAUACUUUAGCUCCCUUGUUUUUUGGAGUUGCAUAUGUCAUAGUCUUUUGCCUCUGACCAAAACUGCUCAAGUACUUAUCUCACUGCCAUGUUUUCUGUCCUUAAGAUCACAAGAAAGUUAUCUCAUUUAUGCAUGUGGCCAGAGCCCUGGAUAAUUUUUUUUUUCUAAAUUAACUGUCUCAGAGAAAUCUUUCUAAUCAGCCAUUUCCAAGGCUAUUCAUUGCUAGUGUGUAUGUAUUCCUCAAAGGCAUGUACAAGAUAUGAGCCUCAUUAUUUCUUCCACCACCAUCAUUCUCAUGGGUUUGGUGAAACCUUCUGGCAUUCCUUUCCAGAAUGUAAAACUGGAAUAAAAUUCUUGUUAUUAACUCAGAAUAGCAUUGAAGAAAUUGAACUCUGUCAAUUGUUUGUAUCUAAUUGUGUGCAGUUUAGGUGGUCUGCUUUCCCAGGCAGCUUUUAUCAUGGUGGACUUUGAAAUUUGAACUCAUUUGAGCACUGCACUCCAAAAUAAGCACAGAUGUUAUUACAAGAAUCAGGAUUCAGUUGGAUACAUCUCUUCACAGAACUGCUUCUGUCACUGGUUUAGAGAGGAUUGAUCUUCUUCCUCACUGAAUUUGUUAUUUUCUUUUAAACUUCAAACUAUAAUAAAACAGUUUCUUACACCA